rnacentral:rRNA from 1 species
UCAGUUCGGAUUGCAGGCUGCAACUCGCCUGUAUGAAGUCGGAAUUGCUAGUAAUCGCGGAUCAGCAUGCCGCGGUGAAUACGUUCCCGGGCCUUGUACACACCGCCCGUCACACCAUGAGAGCCGGGAACACCCGAAGUCCGUAGUCUAACCGCAAGGAGGACGCGGCCGAAGGUGGGUUUGGUAAUUAGGGUGAAGUCGUAACAAGGUACC